rnacentral:sRNA from 1 species
CUGCAUAUCUCCUUUUCUUGUUAGCUCUUCUUCUUUUGCGCUCAGCUUGUGUAAGUUCUGCUUCUUCUUUAACAUCACCUUUUCCUUCAAAAAUUUCUUCAGGAGCAAGCAUUGCAGCAUCUGAAACAGCUACAGGAUUUUAUUUACCUCCUCCAUUGCUAGAGCUGGUACAUUUGCUUGUAUAGACAUAUCUUCAAUGACCGGCUUUGGAGCAAAGUGGAAAUGAGAUAGUGCAUCCAACUUCAAGCAUAUUCUCUUAAAUAAGCGAUUAAACUCACCUCGUUCUUAAGUUCAUCUGAAAUAGAAAGUGGUGCAGGUGCAAGGCCAGCUUUUUGCGCAUAAUCAUCCUUGCAAACCUCAUAUAGUUCAGCAAGACCCUUCUUGCUCUUACUUUCAUCCUAUCCUUUUGUUCCUUUGGGGAUUUAAAUUGCAAGGGAGAAGGCUUUUCAACAUCGAAACAACACACAUACCUCUAUUAUUCUUUUCUUUAUCAUCUCUUCAAGAGAAGCAGUGACUUCCUCAGUGAUUACUGGGGCAGGUCUUACAUUGUGCUCAAAAUCAAGGUCCACUUCUAGAGCACUAUUUUUGGGUCUGCUGGAAGCAUUAACCUCUCCCUGCAUGGUCCACGUACUAGGUUCAAGAUUAGCUUUCUCCAUUUCCUCUAUUUUAGCAUGCAUCUUCAGGCGCGCCUUCUCGUGAGUUGACAAACCCUUACUUGACUAACAUUUCCAUCAUCAUUUUUGUCAUCAACUUCUGGUUUAUCUGGUUCAUCCUUGAAUUGAACUUUCUUGGAGCCACCUUUCUUCCUUACUUUUUGGUCAUCCGCUUCCUGAAAAAAAUCCUUAUAC